CAAUAGCGUAUAUUAAUGUUGUUGCAGUUAAAAAGCUCGUAGUUGGAUAUCUGGCCUUUGCGUUGACGACCCGCCCUCUUUUGGGAUGAGCGUUGGAGACGUGGGUCUAUUUUCCGGUUGGUGUCCAUUCCACUUUAUUGGGGCGUGGUUCACGAUCCGGAUCGUUUACUUUGAAAAAAUUCGAGUGUUCAUAGCAGGCUUACGCCGUGAAGAUCGCAGCAUGGAAUAAUAACAUAGGACUUGGCGUUCUAUUUUGUUGGUUCUGGAACCUAAGUAAUGAUUGAUAGGGACAGUUGGGGGUGCUGCUAUAGACUGGCCAGAGGUGAAAUUCUAAGACUCAGUCUAGAGCAACUUAUGCGAAAGCAUUCACCAAGGAUGUCUUCUUUAA
rnacentral:rRNA from 1 species